UACAGAGGUCUCAAGCGUUGUUCGGAUUCAUUGGGCGUAAAGGGUGCGUAGGCGGCGCGGUAAGUCGGGUGUGAAAUUUCGAGGCUUAACUUCGAAACUGCAUUCGAUACUGCCGUGCUUGAGGACUGGAGAGGAGACUGGAAUUUACGGUGUAGCGGUGAAAUGCGUAGAUAUCGUAAGGAAGACCAGUGGCGAAGGCGACUCUUUGGCCUGUAACUGACACUGAGGCGCGAAAGCGUGGGGAGCAAACAGG
rnacentral:rRNA from 1 species